rnacentral:rRNA from 1 species
AGAGUUUGAUCAUGGCUCAGAUUGAACGCUGGCGGCAUGCUUUACACAUGCAAGUCGAACGGCAGCAUGGGGUGCUUGCACCCUGAUGGCGAGUGGCGAACGGGUGAGUAACAUAUCGGAACGUACCGAGUAGUGGGGGAUAACUGUCCGAAAGGAUGGCUAAUACCGCAUACGAUUUGAGAAUGAAAGUGGGGGACCUUCGGGCCUCACGCUAUUCGAGCGGCCGAUAUCUGAUUAGCUAGUUGGUGGGGUAAAGGCCCACCAAGGCGAUGAUCAGUAGCGGGUCUGAGAGGAUGAUCCGCCACAUUGGGACUGAGACACGGCCCAAACUCCUACGGGAGGCAGCA